rnacentral:tRNA from 1 species
CAUAUUAAAGUUUUUUUUGAAUUUUUCCUUUACGUUGAAAAGGCCUCGUUUUGAGUAGUAUGAUUGUUAUGUUUUGG